UUAACAAGUUCGGAGCACCGCCAAACAAUCCAAACAAUCAACCCGACCCGAUUUGUUUCCUAUGACUAUUAACUGCCACAAACGAUUUUAAAAAACAGCAUUUUGAACCGUUGAGAAUGAAACCAAAAGCUCUGUUCCCGCCAUUUCAUUCUUCCCUCUCUCUUCUUCUUCACAAUCACAAAAACCCAAUUUCAAUCACCAAAGUCUCCUCCUUUCAGAUUUCCAAAACUCUUUCUGGUUCAGCCCUCGUGAUCAGUUCAAGAAACCCAGUUAACUCAUGGCCUUGCUUAAUCUUCCAAGGAAAUGUGUACCAUGUGUUUGUCAAAAGUCCUUAGAGGAGGAGACUUGUCAAAAAUUGAACCUUUCAGAGCACAGGUGUGGUUGUUGAGGUCCUGGGAAAAACCAGCUGAUGAUAGCAGAGAGGAUGAGUACAGAAAUGAGAACUAGAUUCUUCGAAUAGGUUGAGGUAAUAGUAAUGUCAUAAAUUUUCAUUUCUUUUCUUACGACUUUUGUGCAAUAUGAUGAAGCAUGAGAGCUUCUUCUUUUGCUUCUGUAGUAUGUUUGUAUCCUCCUCCAUGUAGAAUGCAAGAAAGUGAAGAUUUAAAGCAAACCCUGAUGAGUCAGCAAUUUAGUUGUUUUGAGUUACUAUAGAUAUGGAAGGAAAAUCGAUAUUUUCUUCUCCAAUGUAGUGGUUGUGACAACAUUUUAUUUGGUUCAGUCUCUCUCCAUUUUCUUCUAUUUUCUUCCUAAUUCCUUGUUGGGCUAAAAGCUUUUUGGACAAAUCUAAUUACAUUUGCAGCAUCAAGAUCAUAUGCUUGUCAUGGACAUUCACAUUAUGAUAUCUUUGGCCAUGGAAAAAGAAUUGCUCUUAGCCAACCUGUUUGAGUUGCUCUUAGCGCUUCGACUGUGCCUUCUUCUGCCAUUUCUUCUUGGGGACCAGCUUGCUUUCGGUUGUAACUUCAACUCGGGUGAGAACUUAUAGUUGGGGUCUCUCAUUCGUGCUUGUAACUCAAUAUUUAAUUUCUUAGGCCUUCCUUGUCUAAGCUCUGCAUAUUCUGGUCCGGAAACAAUAUUUUCAAACGCUCCUAUCAAAAUGUCCAAAUCACUCCCACACAUUUGUGUACUGCCCAUCCGGCCCUCUUUUCAAUUUCUUCAACGCAUUAACUGCAAUUUUUCUUGCUUGCUUUCCUCUGGACAAUUCUUUCGGAUCCUUCUCAUUUUGACAUAAAUGUUGAUGGUCUUAUAUAGAUCGGAAUAAAGGAAGAGGUAAAAUUUAUAGAUUUAUUUUUAAUUGUUGAAUGAUAGAAGACAGACAGAAGAUUUGUUUGGACGGACUAGAUAAGGGGGAUUGCAAUCCAUCGGACUAUUAGUCCUGGGAUACAUUGUCUCCGGAUUAUUUGGUUGGGCUGGAUUUGUAUCCUAUAUUUGUUUAGUCAUGGGACUAUUUUUAGUGAAUCAAAUAUUUGGUUAGACGGACUGG